GACGAACGCUGGCGGCGUGCCUAAUACAUGCAAGUCGAACGCAGUGGGGACGGGUGAGUAACACGUGGGUAACCUCCCAUCAGAGGGGAUCACACUUGGAAACAGGUGCUAAACCGAUCCUGAUGGAUGGACCCGCGGUGCCUCAGCUAGUUGGUGAGGUAACGGCUCACCAGGGCCACGAUGCAUAUCCAUCCGGUGAAGAAGAUCGGCCACACUGGGAGUGAGACCCGUGCCAGCAUCCGACGGGAGGCAGGAGGAGGGAAUAAUCGGCAAUGGGCGAAAGUCGUAACGAGCAACGCCGCGGUGGUGAAGAAGGUUUUCGGAACGUAAAACUCUGUUGUUAGAGAAGCGGUAUCUAACUAGAAAGCCACGGCUAAAUAUGUGCCAGCAGCCGCGGCAAGAC
rnacentral:rRNA from 1 species